AUGAUGUGGUCAUUACGCCAAAAUAUAGUUCAUCAUUUCGUGUACUUGCUUCUAAAAUUAGUAUUGAUUCUACCAGUUGCAACGACUAAUGUUGAGAGAGCAUGUUCUGCCAUGAGUUUAGUCAAGAGCAAGUUGAGAAAUAUGAUGAGUGAUAGUCUUUUGAUUGCCUAG
rnacentral:rRNA from 1 species